rnacentral:rRNA from 1 species
CCUACGGGUGGCAGCAGUGGGGAAUCUUGCGCAAUGGACGAAAGUCUGACGCAGCGACGCCGCGUGGGUGAUGAAGGCCUUCGGGUUGUAAAGCCCUGUGGGGAGAGACGAAUAAGCCGUGGCUAACAUCCACGGUGAUGACGGUAUCUCCUUAGCAAGCACCGGCUAACUCUGUGCCAGCAGCCGCGGUAAGACAGAGGGUGCAAACCUUGGUCGGAAUUACUGGUAGUAGAGCGCACGUAUCCGACGAGAAAUCCCUCGGCUCAACCAAGGAAGUGCAUUCGAAACCGCAUGGCUGGAGUCCCGGAGAGGAAGGUGGAAUUCUCGGUGUAGAGGUGAAAUUCGUAGAUAUCGAGAGGAACAUCGGCGGCGAAAGCGGCCUUCUGGACGAGGACUGACGCUGAGAUGCGAAAGCGUGGGGAGCAAACAGGAUUAGAUACCCCUGUAGUC